ACUCCAUGACAAAGUCUGCUUCAUUUUUUUCCCCAGGCAACCGGGAUCCUGCCUGGGCUUGAGCUCCAGCUGAGGCCCUACCGCCUUGUGUGGUUCUUGCUAGGUCCUCUCCUGAGGGUUGGAUCUGUCUCUAAUUCUCAGCUAUUGACUCAGGUCCUGCUCACAAUGGACAAGUGACCACCAACCAGGAUCCUGUCACUCCAGAGUCAUCCUCAGUCCUGUGUGCUGCUUGGGGAAGACACAAUGGAGCGAAGACAAGGGCAACUGCAGAGGCUCAGGGCAUCCUUGGGCUGGCAGACUGAGAGGAUUAACCUCAGCGUUCAUUUCAUAUCAUGCUGAAACCUGCAUGGAACACCUGUCUUAUCUGAAACUAUAGUUUAAAGAAGAUUCGGAUUUUAAAGGAAGCUCAACAUCACAUGAUCGCCUCUGGCAAUUAAUACGUGGGCAAACUGAGACCCUGAGAGAGGAGCAUGUUAGAUGCCCCAGAACACUGUUGUUAGCAAUACCAUGCUAGGAAGAGGAGGAGCUUCCUGUGAAUUGAGUACAGCCCCUGCAUGCUUCCUUCCUGCCUGAUGUUGCUUUGACCUCACUAAUCCCCACCUGGGAGAAGCCCCGCCUGCUGAGGUGAGU
rnacentral:lncRNA from 10 species